GUUAUAUUUUGUCAUUUAGAAACGGAAAGUGUAUUUUUUGUUGUCCAAGGCCUCUGAAGUGGCAGGCAGCAAUGAGUUUUCACGGUGUUGGUGUACAAAGACAACCCCAAAGACACUAUUAAACACCCGUCAUUUGGAAA